AGGAUCAAGAAAGUGUAGUAGCUGAAUGCAAGAUUUGCUGGAUUGGGCAAGGGUAUGGAGUAGAUGCCUGACUUGUGGACAUGAGGAAGAGCAGUGUAGAUAGUGAACAGCUCACCCUGAUAAAAAGAUUAAAGAAAUCCUGUUGCACAUGAGAAGACACAUGAAUUUGGAAACAACUCAAAUGAAGAAUCAUAUUCAAGGGAAAGACAUGGUCUGAAAUGGGAGAACAAUACACCCAAGCUUCUAUUGAACAUACAAAUAAAUUAUCAAUAAUGGCAUCAUCACCACUACCACACUUAUAAUUAUAUUGGUCAUCAUUAUGACAACUAUACAUGUAUAUUAUUAUUAUCAUUAUCACAUCAAACGCCCAAACCCAUCAUCACCACCAUCACCAUCACCACCACCACCAUCAUCAUCAUCAUUAUACCAUCACUCUAAAUAAAACUAAUCAGACCUGCUAAUAACAUUWAAAAAAUAACGUACCGAAACACCAAUUGGAUAAAGGACAAAAAAGAAUGUGUAUCUGCACCACUGUAAGGCAUAUGGCAAAACGCUGACCAGAGAGCAGACGUAGAACAAAUAUCUUAUGACCUCAGUGAUGGACCAAGCCAUAACAAAUGCUGCCACUCCCAUGCAGUCUUGUACCUGUAGAUACAACGAUGAGAUCUAAUACUGCUACACUUACCCACAGCACAGUGGACAACCUGGAGAAGAAAUAACAAUAAAAAAGGCUGUUAWGAAAGAGAUGAUGCAUCUAUCAUGGUGUCAAUGUCAGGAUAAUAGCAAAAAAUCAGGAUUGAUGGCAUAACAUAUGUAUACAUAUAUACGCUUACAAGUAUAAACUCAUCUAAAGCCUACAUGUCAUUGAUAUCGUACGUAUCAUCUAUGUUAGAUUGUCUUCAUUGCUCUCCCAAAUCAUGCCAAGACUCGAACUGAGUUCAAAUAUYUGCCUGACAAAAUAGAUUGCAAGAGCAAAAACUAUAAAAAGCGUUGUACUAAAGUUUCGAACAUCGAAUUAAUAGACCAGGCAAAUAUUUGAUUCUACGAAGUGAUUUUUAUAAGUGCUGGAAAUGCAAUGCUCUUCUCAUAGUCUCUAUAGAAACCUAAAAAUCAUACCCCAAAUUUUAUAACAAAAAAUAAACACUUGAGCAUGUUCACUAACAAA